ensembl:lncRNA
GGUUAGAGUGGAGGGGCGGCAGGGUAGCCUAGUGGUUAGAGUGGAGGGGCGGCAGGGUAGCCUAGUGGUUAGAGGGGAGGGGCGGCAGGGUAGCCUAGUGGUUAGAGUGGGAGGGGCGGCAGGGUAGCCUAGUGGUUAGAGUGGAGGGGGGUGGCAGGGUAGCCUAGUGGUUAGAGUGGAGGGGUGGCAGGGUAGCCUAGUGGUUAGAGUGGAGGGGCGGCAGGGGAGUGGGGGUGGAGGGGUGGCAGGGUAGCCUAGUGGUUAGAGUGGAGGGGCGGCAGGGUAGCCUAGUGGUUAGAGUGGAGGGGUGCAGGGUAGACUAGUGGUUAGAGUGGAGGGGCGGCAGGGUAGACUAGUGGUUAGAGUGGAGGGGCGGCAGGGUAGACUAGUGGUUAGAGUGGAGGGGCGGCAGGGUAGCCUAGUGGUUAGAGUGGAGGGGCGGCAGGGUAGCCUAGUGGUUAGAGUGGAGGGGCGGCAGGGUAGCCUAGUGGUUAGAGUGGAGGGGCGGCAGGGUAGAAUAGUGGUUAGAGGGGAGUGGAGGCAGGGUAGCCUAGUGGGUAGAGUGGAGGGGCGGCAGGUAGCCUAGUGGUUAGAGUGGAGGGGUGGCAGGGUAGACUAUUGGUUAGAGAGGAGGGGAGGCAGGGUAGCCUAGUGGUUAGAGUGGAGGGGUGGCAGGGUAGCCUAGUGGUUAGAGGGGAGGGGCGGUAGGUAGCCUAAUGGUUAGAGGGGAGGGGCGGCAGGGUAGCCUAUUGGUUAGAGGGGAGGGGUGGCAGGGUAGACUAGUGUUUAGAGUGGAGGGGUGGAGGGGCAGGGGCAGGGUAGCCUAGUGGUUAGAGUGGAGGUGCGGCAGGGUAGCCUAGUGGUUAGAGUGGAGGGGUGGCAGAGUAGACUAGUGGUUAGAGUGGAGGGGCGGCAGGGUAGUCUAGUGGUUAGAGUGGAGGGGCGGCAGGGUAGACUAGUGGUUAGAGUGGAGGUGCGGCAGGGUAGCCUAGUGGUUAGAGGGGGGGGCGGCAGGGUAGACUAGUGGUUAGAGUGGAGGUGCGGCAGGGUAGCCUAGUGGUUAGAGGGGAGGGGCGGCAGGGUAGCCUAGUGGGUAGAGUGGAGGGGCGGCAAGUAGCCUAGUGGUUAGAGUGGAGGGGCGGCAGGGUAGCCUAGUGGUUAGAGUGGAGGGGUGGCAGGGUAGCCUAGUGGUUAGAGUGAAGGGGCGGCAGGGUAGCCUAGUGGUUAGAGUGGAGGGGCGGCAGGGUAGUCUAGUGGUUAGAGUGGAGGGGCGGCAGGGUAGCCUAGUGGUUAGAGUGUUGGACUAGUGACCGGAAGGUUGCAAGUUCAAACCCCCGAGCUGACAAGGUACAAAUCUGUCGUUCUGCCCCUGAACAGGCAGUUAACCCACUGUUCCCAGGCCGUCAUUGAAAAUAAGAAUUUGUUCUUAACUGACUUGCCUCGUUAAAUAAAG